rnacentral:rRNA from 1 species
CUUGAGUACGGGAGAGGAGAGUGGAAUUCCAUGUGUAGCGGUGAAAUGCGCAGAUAUAUGGAGGAACACCUGUGGCGAAGGCGGCUCUCUGGACCGCUACUGACGCUGAGGCGCGAAAGCGUGGGGAGCAAACGGGAUUAGAUACCCCGGUAGUCCACGCCGUAAACGAUGGGUACUUGGUGUAGGGGGCAUCGACCCCCCCUGUGCCGGAGCUAACGCAUUAAGUACCCCGCCUGGGGAGUACGACCGCAAGGUUGAAACUCAAAGGAAUUGACGGGGACCCGCACAAGCAGCGGAGCAUGUGGUUUAAUUCGAAGCAACGCGAAGAACCUUACCAAGACUUGACAUCCUUUUGACCCAUUCUUAAUCGAAUGCUCUCUUCGGAGCAGAAGUGACAGGUGGUGCAUGGUUGUCGUCAGCUCGUGUCGUGAGAUGUUGGGUUAAGUCCCGCAACGAGCGCAACCCUUAUCUUUAGUUGCCAGCAGUUCGGCUGGGCACUCUAGAGAGACUGCCGGGGAUAACUCGGAGGAAGGUGGGGAUGACGUCAAAUCAUCAUGCCCCUUAUGUCUUGGGCUACACACGUGCUACAAUGGCUGGUACAAAGAGCAGCGAAGGGGUGACCGGGAGCAAAUCUAUAAAGCCAGUCUCAGUUCGGAUUGUAGGCUGCAACUCGCCUACAUGAAGUUGGAGUUGCUAGUAAUCGUGAAUCAGAAUGUCGCGGUGAAUGCGUUCCCGGGUCUUGUACACACCGCCCGUCACACCACGGAAGUUGGAAGCGCCCGAAGUCGGUCAGAUAAUAGACUGCCGAAGGUGAAAUCAAUGACUGGGGUG